rnacentral:rRNA from 1 species
CCUACGGGAGGCAGCAGUGGGGAAUAUUGCACAAUGGGGGAAACCCUGAUGCAGCGACGCCGCGUGAGUGAAGAAGUAUUUCGGUACGUAAAGCUCUAUCAGCAGGGAAGAAAAAAGGACGUUACCUGAGUAAGAAGCCCCGGCUAACUACGUGCCAGCAGCCGCGGUAAUUCGGUGGGUGCGAGCGUUAAUCGAAAUUAAUGGGCGGAAAGCGCUCGUAGGCGGUAUGGCAAGUCAAGGGUGAAAUCCCCGGGCUCAACGUGGGAACUGCCUUUGAAACUGGCAAACUGGAGUGUGAGAGAGGAUAGUGGAAGUCCAGGUGAAGGAGUGAAAUCCGUAGAUAUAUGGAGGAACACCAGUGGCGAAGGCGACUAUCUGGCACAUAACUGACGCUGAGGAGCGAAAGCGUGGGUAGCAAACAGGAUUAGAUACCCCAGUAGUC